rnacentral:ncRNA from 1 species
AUGGUAAUCCCUAGCAAGGAGCCAUUAGCUAGCCUUGGAGCCGAAAUCGUGAGACUAGGUUUAAGCGUAGGUAAGCAAGAGUUCGAGCCGCAAUGCGAAAGUGUGAAGUUAUUGAGCCUCGUAAAACUAUAAAUAAGCAGAUGUUGAUAGGGUCACCUGCCUAGCAAACAAAAUCGGUAGUAUCGAUAAUGCGAGAUACUAUGAGAAAUCUGUCGGGGUCC